CCGUGUUUUCGUAACGGGCAGACGACAGAAUUCACUUUAAAUUAACAUUGGUUCUUAUGGGAGUGUUCACCCAUCGGCAGAAAGUUGAGCAGAAAAAAAGAACUGUUCAAAUCAGAGACGAACUGUCGUUCAUUUUGCCGUUCAUUUUAAGGCCUAUCAACACAAUGCUAUUUUACUUCGACCGAUCACUGCUCGUGAACCGUUUUGUCGAAAAAGAACUAAUUUCGGGAUUCUGUCGACGGGAACAGACAGCUUCGAAUUUAUUUUUCUGCUCUGAUCACGUGACACCAGCAGAAUAAUCUUUCUCCGGAUCAGACGCCAUGUUCUUUUUAACCUCAAUCUUUAAUUGUUGGAUGGUUUGUUUUGAUAUUGGUUGUCAGAUUUCGGAUUGCCACUAUCAUACUGUGAAAUUAAUUUGCAGUGGAAAAUUGAGGUAUAAAAUAUUUCUAUUGGUUUCUUUAUUCUUAUAAUUUUUACAAGAGAAAUUGAAAAUGGAUUUACAACAGAAAGGCGUGAAAUUUUCGAAGUUCAAAGUUUUGUACUUUCCAGACCUGCACAACGAAUUACCUAUUUGAAAAAUAGAAUAUGGUUAGAAAUUGCUGAUGUAAUAGAGGAUUCAAGUACCAUUUACAAACAAAAUAUUGAAGAGAAUGUGCUCAAAGGAAAUGCAUAUGAAUUCUUUCUUGUUGACCAGGAUGGAACAAUUCUUUGGAACCUAUAGUUAGAAUAAGUUAGUUAGGCCUAGUGAUGUACCAGCCAGAAGUAGAGGAUGACAAAGAAAAUCAACUAUGAAUAAUAUUCCAUGGAUAUGAUUCAUGUAUGAUGUAGUAGCCUACAGAAGAAAGAGAUGGACUAAUCUAAGAAAUAUAUUCAUUUUU